rnacentral:rRNA from 1 species
UAGUCCACGCCGUAAACGAUGAUUACUCGUUGUUGGCAAUACAUCGUCAGCGACUGAGCGAAAGCAUUAAGUAAUCCACCUGGGGAGUACGAUCGCAAGAUUGAAACUCAAAGGAAUUGACGGGGGCCCGCACAAGCGGAGGAACAUGUGGUUUAAUUCGAUGAUACGCGAGGAACCUUACCUGGGCUUAAAUGCAAAACGACAGACCGGGAAACUGGUCUUUCUUCGGACGGCUUGCAAGGUGCUGCAUGGCUGUCGUCAGCUCGUGCCGUGAGGUGUCGGGUUAAGUCCCAUAACGAGCGCAACCCUCAUCAUUAGUUGCCAGCGGGUAAUGCCGGGGACUCUAAUGAAACUGCCGGUGUAAACCGAGAGGAAGGUGGGGACGACGUCAAGUCAUCAUGGCCCUUAUGCCUUGGGCUACACACGUGCUACAAUGGUUUGUACUAAAGGGAAGCAAAGUAGUGAUGCGGAGCAAAUCCCAGAAAGCAAUCCCUAGUUCGGA